rnacentral:lncRNA from 1 species
CUGCAUCAUAAAUAAAUAAGAAAAAGGAAAAAGAAGACUCAUUUGUAAGACUAUUAAGCUUUAUUGAAUUUAUUGAAUUGGCUUGAUUUAAUCUUUCCACAAUGUAAACAUCUAUCAAAACAUUACAGUGUACUCCAUAGUAUAUGCAAUUAUUUGUCAGUUAAAGUUAACACUUUAAAAAUACCCGAGUUAAUAAAUAGGAUUCAGUUGGAAGACUAUUAAGCUUUCUUUCCCCAAUAUCUCUGCCUUAGAAUUUUCAAAUUAAUGUGAUCCCUGGCCAUUUAUAUUUUUAAAAACCAGAACACAGAGACUUUUUAAAAAUUUAAGUUCCGUGGUACAUGUAAAACAUGUUUUGUCCUCUAUUGUAAGUACUAUAUAAUCCUGAUUUUACUGAUAAGUCUUUGAGUGAUUUUAUGGUGAAAUAAAAGUAUUCAAAGUCACAAGGUUUUUACAUGGCAGAACUAGGGUUUGUCUCUAGUCUGUAUCCAGAGCCCACACUCCUAAUCAGUACAUUUAGGAAGAAGAAACAGACAUUUGUUGAACUAUGUCAGCCCAUGGUGGCUGGUGUAACAGUGAGACCAUAGCUCUUUUAUCUAUGUUUCUGUAGUCAUUCUACAUUGUAGCAGAUGGUAUUUAUUUAAGAAAAAGUAAUAAUUUUAAAAAUAAAAACAUUAAUAAACAUCAUAGUUAAUUGUACUAGACAACUUGGCUGUUGAUGCAGAUAAUUCCUUGGACUCCCCCAUAAUGAAUGAAUUAUUUUUCCUUUUAGGAACUCAGAGUGGUUUUCCAGAUGGGAAUCACAUUGCUCUCUGUCCCUGAGAUCUUGCAGGAGGCAGGGAUACUCAAUCCCUCUUUGCCAGAGGAAACACUUGUUGUUCUGUCUGAGGCCCUGCCUGUCAUCUUAAAAGCCAGUCAAUUCAUAUGGUCUCCAUAUCAAGGUCUCUUGUGCCCAGAGAGAGGAUUUCAUUUCAACCACCACCAUCACCACCAUCAUCAUCAUCACCAAGAGGGGUUGCUGAACUGAUAUUGGAAAAGCAGUUUCUAUUGAGCACCCAAAUGAAGAGAGAGCGCAGAACAAGAGGCAGGACUCACAAGUCCUUGACCUUCUCAUUAGACUCAUUAGCACCUACAGGACCCUGCAUCAAGAUUUCAUCUGCAUUAUCAGCUUCUUCAAAGAGAGAGAGGUUGUUGAGUGAGUACCCACAAGGGCACAGUACUAAAAACAUGUAAAAUUACAAGUGUGUACGUCCUAAAAGGUUAUGAUCUAUAAAAAAGAUAGCUAGGUGUCCUUUGGGGAGGGUA